rnacentral:lncRNA from 1 species
GCUAAUGGGAAAAAGGAAAUUGAUAUGAGCUUUACAAGGUUUGACAUGAAGCCGGAUGGAUGUUGCAGACCCGGAAAAGCUGAAAUCCAAGGCUUCAUAAGCACGAAGCCUUAUGACUGCCUGUAUAGGUAAAGUAGCCAGAUAAAUACACACUCUAAUAGUAUUGAUAAAAAAUUAUUCUGUACUUACCUAAAAAUAUCUCUUCACCUCUGUAGACUGCAUUUUCUGAGAGGUACCUCUGAUUCCCCAUAGGCCCAUAAUUUAAAAUGCAAAUGUCCUAGCUUAUCCAAUUGUUGUUCUUUCUUACUCUUUAUAAGCUCAAAAUAUAGAGAAACUAAUCCUUUGGGAAAAAAAUCACAAGAUUUAGAGUAAAAAAUGGAUCUAUCAAGUGCACUACCUGAUUGACAUUGGGCAAAUUAACUUACCUCUAUCAAUAUGUAUAACAUAGAGAACAUACUGUCUUCUGUAUAAUAGUAUAUGAAAGCUACUGUUGUAUUCAGUAGUACAAAAGCAGUGUUUGUAAGGUUAGGUGGACCUUCGAAGGAAAACAGCAAUAAUCGUGUGGCAUAAGGCCUUUACUGGGUGGGCAAGAGAAGGUGUACUACAGUAGACAAAGUCAAAAGAAAUUGGGAUUGCCAGAGAGAGACCAGGGUUGUGCCAGGAGUGAGGGCAGAAGCUAGUUUCACAAAGAAUACAUUGCAACUUCCAAAGUCACAUGCACUCUGCCCCAUUUAUUUUAUUUUUAUUUUGGACCAAUGUGUCUCAUACAGUGAUCAUGAAGGACUGAGUUAUGCCAUCAUUUGAUUAACAUGGAGCUCCAGUCUCUGACAUUAUGGGACAUGGAUGAAUCUGGAGAACAUCAUUCUCAGCAAACUGACACAAGAACAGAAAAUGAAACACUGCAUAUUCUCACUCAUAGGCGGGUGAUGAAAAAUGAGAACACAUGGACACAGGGAGGGGAGUACUAAACACUGGGGUCUACUGGGGGGAAAAGGGGAGGGCCAGAGGGAGGGGGUGGUGGGGAGCGAUAGCGUGGGGAGAAAUGCCAAAUGUGGGUGAAGGUGAUCUUUAAAAACACUGGAAAAUUGGUCAGCUGCUUAUCAAAAGGUUGUAACAAAAAUUAACAAAAGUAAAAAUAGAAUAAUAAUCUGUGGGAUGUUUG